UCUGCCUGUAUCUACCCCAUGUUUGGUGAUGAUUGGCACCAGUGCAGCAAACUCACCCUCCAAGGGAACUGGAAUGUCAAUCUGGAGUUUUAAGAUAGUGCCAUGGGAAUCUUGUAAAUCCAUCAUAGAAAGGACACAGGGCAUUGGUUUAACAUCUCAUCUGAAAAAUGGCAAUCCUGACAGACAAUAAAGGUUGAUUAAACAGAAUCUGGGCAAAUA